rnacentral:lncRNA from 1 species
CUGAGAUCCCAGGCAAGGAUGACCUUCUCUAAAAGGGACACAUGAAUACCAAGAUAUGGGAGGCUUGAGCAAAUACUAUGAAUCUCUCAAGGAGCUAUGGAUUACCUUAAAAGGCUAGACAACAGAGCCACGGCACAGGAAGUCUGCCCUGGAUGCUAUCCUGCUGGGAAUUGGCCCUCUGAAACAGAUCCAUCCACCCGAUGAGUCAUGACAUUAAAAAUGAUGAAGGAAAUGGACUGGUCCCCAGACAAACAGCUCGGGGCAAUACGAUUCCUGCAUCCAAAGGACUAUGGGUUACAGACACCUCUCUCUUCUGGGAUACAACGUGUAAAAGCCGGAUUGAGAUCUCUAUGCCUGUUCUUCAACUGCUGUGGCUACCACUAUUCCAAGAGACAGAAUAAGAAAGUUAAAGACAACAAGAAAUGGGUCUGUAAGGCCCGAAGUGAGUGGUGUGGCAAACGACUGGACUCACUCACAUGAAUAUAAGGCUAAUCCAUUCAGGAACAGACUAAGUCUCGUCCUGACCUACUUGUCGUUUUUCUGUA